AACGAACGUUGGCGGGAUGUCUUAAGCAUGCAAGUCGAGCGGCAGCAUGGGUGCUUGCACCUGAUGGCGAGCGGCGAACUGGUGCGUAACACGUAGGUGAUCUACCUCAUAGACUGGGAUAGCCACUGGAAACAGUGAUUAAUACCGGAUAUGCCUUAAGUCUACGGAUUUAAGGUGAAAGCGGCGUUUGCCGCACUACGAGAUGAGCCUGCGUCCCAUUAGCUUGUUGGUGAGGUAAUGGCUUACCAAGGCAACGAUGGGUAGCCGGCCUGAGAGGGUGAUCGGCCACAUCGGGACUGAGAUACGGCCCGG
rnacentral:rRNA from 1 species